rnacentral:misc_RNA from 1 species
GAUGAAGAACGUAGCGAAAUGCGAUAAGUAAUGUGAAUUGCAGAAUUCAGUGAAUCAUCGAAUCUUUGAACGCACAUUGCGCCCAUUAGUAUUCUAGUGGGCAUGCCUGUUCGAGCGUCAUUAAGUCCACUUAAGCCCUGCUUAGUGUUGGGAGACUGCUCCAGCGGUGCUACCCUGUAGCUACCCUGCAGCUCCUCAAAGACAGCGGCGGAGUUGUGGUAUCCUCUGAGCUUAGUAACUUGUUCUAGCUUUCGAGUACACCACUUCCCCUGCCGUACAACCCUUAAUUUUUAAUGGUUGACCUCGGAUCAGGUAGGAAUACCCGCUGAACUUAAGCAUAUCAAUAAGCGGAGGA